UACGUAGGCAGCAAGCGUUGUUCGGAGUUACUGGGCGUAAAGGGCUCGUAGGCGGCCAACUAAGUCAUACGUGAAAUCCCUCGGCUUAACCGGGGAACUGCGUCUGAUACUGGAUGGCUUGAGUUCGGGAGAGGGAUGCGGAAUUCCAGGUGUAGCGGUGAAAUGCGUAGAUAUCUGGAGGAACACCGGUGGCGAAGGCGGCAUCCUGGACCGAUACUGACGCUGAGGAGCGAAAGCCAGGGGAGCAAACGGGGAU
rnacentral:rRNA from 1 species